rfam:Brassica napus, WGS project CCCW01000000 data, contig: 28491
UCUGUGUACAUGAUGAAUCUCAUAAAACAAAUGGUAUUUUACGACUGAUUUUAUGUUUGAUGUUUAUUCACUUUGGAGAACAGAUACUCAGA